GGGGAUGUAGCUCAGUGGUAGAGUACUUGCCUAGCAUGUGUGAGGCCCUAGGUUUAAUCCCCAGCUUCCCCC
rnacentral:tRNA from 1 species